UCAGCAGCGGGGCCCCGGGCGGCCCGGCGCGGGGGGAACGGGGCUGCCGCUGCCUCCUCCCGGCCCCGUCCGGCUCUGUGCCCUCGGCCCUCACCUUGAGCAGCGUGUCCGCCAGGUACACGGCGCACCAGCCGCCCAGCACGGUCACCACCACCGGCACCGGGAUCAUCGCGGGCCGCGCCGCGCCUCAGCGCGGCAGCCCCGGAACCCAACCGGCCCGGAACCUUUCUCUCACCGGCUCUGCUGUCCGGGCGGACACUUCCGGGAGGCGCGUAGAGCGAGGGCAGAUUUUCCAUCAUUCUAACAACCCCACUUUCUGAUGGAAGCCAUCCAUGUUGACUGAUGCCUUUUGAGAAGGUUGGAAAGAACUUCAUUUGGACGUAAAAGCUGAAGAAUUACCGGAAGUGUAUCCAGCCCUGCAUGCUACCGAAUUUGAGUUUAUGUACUGUCAUCAAUGACUUUGGGAUGUCCCCAGCAUCUAAAAGGACUUACAAACAGUAACAGCAUAUUGAGAUCUGAUAAUGAUUUUCUUCUGCAGUGGUUCUCAGUCUAACAAAUUUAUCAAAUCAUUGAUAAAUUAUACAAAUAUGGUUCAUUCUACAUCUUACUGGUUGAAAACUCAAGUUGUUCCAUAGACCAACAUGAAUUUAAUAUUAAUAUACAGACUAUAAACCAGUGGUGGUCUUCAGAAGCAAUGGAGUGGAAUUGUAUUCAAACAGUUGUGAACACAAGUACUUUUUCCUAGUGUCAUAUCCUCACUGAAAUAAAGCAAACUAAAAUGGACAUGUUUAAAUAAACCAGUUGGUGACCA